rnacentral:lncRNA from 1 species
UAUGUUGCGGAAGCCAAAUGUAUAUAGUGUGAAUAAGUCACAACUACUAUACCAAAAAUUAUGACAGCCACCAAAUAAUAAAUAAGACAAUAAAGCAACAAUAAAGGGAACACCAGAAUUUACGGGGUUCGGCUAAUUUUGCUUACUCCUCGGACACAACCAAUAUUUUAUUUCACUCCAAAAAUACAAGUGAAAUAAUACUAAAGAGAGAAGAUACAUUAGAGAAGGCAAAUGAGAAGUGUAUUUAAAUCCUAAACAUUAGGCCUUCUUUUAUAGGGAAAAUUUCCCAACCAAAUGGCUAACCCACCGAUGUGGGACUUUGCCAAAUUCAACAAAUCUCCACCUGGCAAAAAUUCCACGUCUUCAAUUUUCUCUCUAUAACAAAUUUUGGUUGUGUCUUCAUCUUCAAUCUUCAGUGUUCAACAAUGUUGAUCAAAUCCAAACAAUGUUGAAACUUGACUGCAGUCACCACCUUUGUUGAUGAUUUUUCUCGAAGAGUGUGGGUGUAUACAAUGAAAAACAAAGAUGAAGUGCUGGGAAUUUUUCUCAAAUGGAAGACGAUGGUGGAGAAUCAAACAGGCAAGAGGAUGGUGAAGUGCUCUGAUACCAAUUGUUGCGGAAGCCAAAUGUAUAUAGUGUGAAUAAGUCACAACUACUAUACCAAAAAUUAUGACAGCCACCAAAUAAUAAAUAAGACAAUAAAGCAACAAUAAAGGGAACACUAGAAUUUACGAGGUUCGGCUAAUUUUGCUUACUCCUCGGACACAACCAAUAUUUUAUUUCACUCCAAAAAUACAAGUGAAAUAAUACUAAAGAGAGAAGAUACAAAUACCUUAAACAGAUGAGAAGGCAAAUGAGA